rnacentral:rRNA from 1 species
GAGGGAGCCUGAGAAACGGCUACCACAUCUACGGAAGGCAGCAGGCGCGCAAAUUGCCCAAUCCUGACACGGGGAGGCAGUGACAAGAAAUAACAACUCUAGGAUUUCUUAGAAGUGUAAUGAGGAUAAUUUACAAACCUUACCGAAUGCAAUUGGAGGGCAAGUCUGGUGCCAGCAGCCGCGGUAAUUCCAGCUCCAAUAGCGUAUAUUAAAGUUGUUGCAGUUAAAAAGCUCGUAGUUGAAGUUCUGAUUGCUCAGGUUUCCAGCCUUAGGCGGAGAUACUGACAGUCAUCCGCUUGCAAACAUAUGUUCGAUCUUCACCGGUUGGCUAUGUGAGUAAGCACUUUUACCUUGAGAAAAACAGAGUGUUCCAGGCAGGUUUGUCCGGGAUGCAUUAGCAUGGAAUAAUAGAACAUGACUGAAGUCGAUUUAUUGGUUUAAGGCUUUAGUAAUGAUUAAUAGGAAC